rnacentral:ncRNA from 2 species
CAAAAUUCGUUGGGGUGCCUCGAAAGAGGCUGAGAGGCGCGUUCACGCGUUAACCCAUUGAACCUGAUCCGGGUAAUACCUGCGUAGGGAACGGAGUUUGACGCGUC